UUCUAAUGACGGCUGCCGCAUACUCUCUCUCAUUCUUAAUCUUUUCUCCAGUUCUCUUUAUUCUUGUUUCAAAUUAAGAAUCCAAAUUCUCAAAGGUAUCGGGCUUCUUAAAUAUGGGGUUUCUUAACUGCAAUUCUCUAUUUUUUCUUGCAAAAGAUUGGAUUAAUCUCACAAAUCUUAACUCUCAAGACAUCGUCCAGGUUAGUUUCAUUUUUUUUUCAUUUAUUUGUUUAUUACUUGGCGUUUGAUAGAUUGUAUGAUUCUUGAGGUCUGCAAUUUUUGGUAGUUUUAUUUUUAUUGUUCGAUUUUUCUUUGAAGAGCAAUUUGUCUAUUUCAGUUUUUUUUUCUUUUUCUUUUGUGGGUAAGAAUUUGAAUGCCAUGAGAGAAAACCAGUGCAGAAAGCUAAUUUACUUGAUCAACUAUUAUGUCACAAAACUCAGGAUUCAAUUCCUAUUUUUGGUAUUGUAUGUGUACUUCACUUUUGUUGAUUAUGUACUGGAAAAUUCUUGAAGUACUUUGCACUAAAAUAUAUAAUUUAUUUUGGCUGCUCUUAUCCAUUAGGAAUACUCAAGAACAUAAUCUUUAUACUAGGCCGACAAACGAUGUUAGGGACACUAUUUAGUGGAUUUUCCAAAAUAUUGCAACAGGCUACACUUGCAAUUUUUGUGCCUAUUCCAGAGCAUGAUGAUCAAAUUGCGUGGCUUGAAAAUUCUUCAGGGAUGUUUACCGUAAAGGAUGCUAUGAAAACAUUCCGGCCCGAGGUACCGCUGUACAUUGAAGUAGUUUAGUAUGGUAUGAAAAUCACAUUCCUAGACAUGUUUUUAUAUUGUGUUUGGUAUGUAACAAAGACUUAGUACGCUGGAUUAGAGGAAAUGCGGUGUUCUCAGUUGGGGAAAAAUUCCUAGAACUCGUGCAAUAUUCAGAUUAAUUGUUCUUAUUCACUGGUUGUAGCAAGAAAAGGGGAGCCUGCAUGUUUGUGAGUUCUCAGAUUGUAAAAAGCCUCCAAAGGAUCCUACAUACAGUUUGCUAUGAUAUUUAUAUUACCUACUACUGUUAGCCUGUUACUUGACAUAGUUGGAUCUUUAAGUGCUUUUAUGUACUCUUUUUCCAGGCAGAAUGUUCUGCGAUACACUUGUUGUAUU
rnacentral:lncRNA from 1 species